CUUCGCUUAUCACUACAUAAACUUUGCCUAAUUUAACGAUUAAUUUAGUCGAUCCUAAACUCACAGCAGUCUUCUAACAAUCUUAUUUUGAUCUGACUUUCAUUGCGCUAUAUGUAACGAACAAUACGAUAAACCAAGAUCGAUUGACUCGUAAAAUUUGAUUAAUAUUAAAUUCAGAUACGCAAGAGGAGCCAGAUUUAGAAUAAAAAGAUUUGAUGUCAUUGAUAAGGCAAAAGAAGAAUCGAUGCAAACGCGAUCUAUCUAACUGCAAUCUUUCUUUUAGCCCGAUCAAUUCCGUCAUCCUCAACGUCCUUUCGCACGAGUAGUUCAUGCAAAAAGACACACGAGAUCUCGAGCAGAUUAUCGAGCGUGACAAGUGUCGUCCCAAGGUCGUAUGAAUCUUGCACGAGUUUGCCUGCGACGAAUAUUUUCCACGCGGCGGACGUUUCCGCGGGGUGGACAGGGUAAAAAAGGUGGCGCUUACGCGUCGAUUUAUGGAGAUUGUACAUCAUGCCCGGAGCUGGAUAAUCCGUUACGUGGUAACACGAGUACAGACGCGGCGCAAUGGUUCCCAGGAGGAUUCUGAUGAGAGAGACGCGACGGCGGAAACGCGCGGCGACGCCCGCUCGCGGCUUCGCCUUGUAAAUAAUUCAGUGCGCAUUAAGGUGCUCAUGCUUGUGAGCGCGAUCCUCUCGCGAAAACGAACGAACGAGUGCAAGGGAAAUCGGCACACGUUGCGGUUGGAACAGGCCGAUUUAAUGGCUAUGGUACCGAUGAGUUAAAUACGAGCAGAGGGAGACUGUAGCGAGGUAAGUUUAACGCGCCAGAAUCUUGUCGAUCAGUGAAGUCGAUCGUGGUAAUUCUAUUUAUAUUAUUAUCUAUUCUUGCAACUUCCGCAAUAACGAAACACAAUUUCCAUUCUUUAUCAAUUUCGCGAAAAGAAAGAAGAGCAACGAAAAAUCCACUAAGAGUUACGCUUACUGGGUAAUUCAUUUACCAGAACAUUCGCGAUUCGGAAACUACUUUGUUAAUUAGGGAUUCCUCGUUACGUUUCAUACAGCUUGGUCAUACACCAACAUCAAAGUCAUAAAACAACACCCGUGUCUCGAAGAAAAUGAAAAACAAAAGAAAGAGAAACGUAGGAAAAUACAGAGGGAGACAUAAUCACGCGAAACAUAAUCUUUCGCGUCUUCAAUAUCCUCAGAACAUACCCUGCCGUGAAAACCAAAAAACCAGUCGCGUCAAAGGAGAACAGAACAAACGAAACCAGAAGAAACAUCCAGCUUAUACGCGUUCAAAUGUUCAUCUCGUGAAGAGUGUGUGUGUGUGUGUGUGAGGGAGAGAGAGAGAGAGAGAGAUUUUAAUCAGACCUGGAAAUCGUAGUCUCCCUUUUGGAAAGGGGUUAGAGAUCUUUCUCGGGGUGUCUACCCUCGCCUUUUGUGUCCUCUUCUUUUCUUCCUUUCCUCUUUGUCCUUUCUUUUUUAUUUUUUUCUCGCAAAGGGAACAUCAGCAGACUGCCUUCUCGACGACAAUGCUUCGAGCCGGUCGUCAUUGUCCCGACGUUAUGAGGUGAAAAAUGAAAGAUAACGAUUUCGCGGUGUCUUCCUCGCGAUAACGUUUUCGACCGCGUUCCCUUCAUAUUUUCAGCCCGUAAUCCCCGCUGUCCCCCUCGGGGGUCGUGCAGAAGGUGUCGUAAAUUCGAGGGACGACACUUUUUUCUAUAUUAAGGUCGCCUCCAGAGCGAAAAGUCGCCAUGCGGAAGGAGAAACCGAGGAAAGAGGGUUUCUGUCCUUCCAGUGUGGAAGCUUCCAAAUAAGAAAGAUAAAAAUAUUAAUUUUCCAUAGUUUGCGUGAAACAAUUCAAGACACUAAUAUUCAAUCAGGAAGGUAACGAGAAAUUAUAACGUUCUGAUUGAAAAGAGCAAAAAUAAUUGAAAGACACGUAGCAGGAUACUAUAUUUUUUUCUUGCAGAUUAGAAGGUAAAAUUAAUUUUCUAUUGCUUAUUUUCUAUCUGAUUGUUUUGUUCAGGAAAGAGAUCAGUAAACGAAACUCUCACACUUGUACAGUUUUCUCUACUAGGAUUCUCAUAGAAAUUUCUUAAAUUAAAGAUGUUAUCGCAUACACCGCUUUUUCAUCCGCACCCUCGCACGUCACUGCAGAAGAUGAAAAUUUGAUCCGCGGUGAGCGCGUUAAUACCUCAAACGCCCGAAACACUGUUCAAUCACCAUAGCUUCCAGUCGUCCCCACAGACGAUAUUCCAUUCUCCACACCCCCGAUACCACAAUCGAAGACUCGCAAGUCCAGCAACAGUUCCUCGUCAACGUUCCCCAUUAUCGACUGCUACACGCGAACCACUAUCGAACCUAAUCGAUCGCGUCCAGCCUAUCAGUCUCCGUUAUUCAGCGCGAUAUCAGGUUGGACUGCGCGCCAUAGCGUCCAUGGGGGUUGCAGCGACAGUGCUGCAACUCCCCCGGCAGGCUAUUGUCACCGGUGACAAAGACACGCACUUCACGCUGCUCGAGUCAGGAACGAGAGCGUAGGAAGUAAAAAAAAAAAAAAAAAGGAAGGGACAGAGUAGGAGAAGAGGCGGAAGGAGAAGGAAGGAAGAGCUCUCGUGCACGCCAGCCGACCAACCCUCUUGCAUUGUGAGCCGCGACAUCGAUUUUCCCGCCGCCGGGCGCUUUGUAAAUGCUGGAAAUUGAGCGGGAAACGCGCGCCGGAGAAUGGGCCUGCGGCGGUCCGAGAAAGUGCAUUAGUGCGAAAUAUAGGGGCGGGUAUGGUUUUCCCCGGUGUCACGGAAUUUUCUGGCAGAGCCGUAGCGAUCGUAUAGCGAAUAAGUUUAUGGGCACAGCCGUAGUUUCUGUAAAUUCCAUUUUAUGUAUUUUAAUAUUUAUCUUAAGCCUUGACCGUUGAAAGAGCGUUACGGGCGCAUCUCCACGUGCAUAUUAUUAGGUCGAACGAAAUGUAUCUUUCGUUUUAUAAGGAAAUAAUAGACGCACGAUGUUUUUUGUUUUAUAUUAGUUUAUUGAAUUAUACACAUCACAGCUGAUUCGAUAAAAUAAUAUAAAACAGAAAUUGUUGUUCAUCCAUUAUCACCUUACGAAACGAAAGAAACUUUUCGGACAACCUAAUAUUACGUGUGUUGUUAUUUCUGUAUUCAGAGGUAUCACAACAGCUAUUAUUUUAUUUUUUGGAUAAAUCGAAAAACCUUUAUUCCACUUACUUACAUGGACUAGGGAUAAAAACAAAAGAACAUCUCAAACCUAUCGAUUAAAUCUAUCGAUUGUAUCUAGAAUUAUCUUCUAGUUAAUAUUUAUUGUAACUAGCGCAUCUGCAUAUGGAUGUCGAGCGCGAACUCACCUUGUCAUUUUCAACAACGUGUCUAUGCAUAUUAUAGAAGACGACGCUUAAUGCAUAAUAACGAAUCGUUGCAGAAUUUAUCAUCCGCUGAUAAAGAUGUAGAUAUCUAAGGUAUGAUUAGUAUUCGUUUUAUUCGCGGGAUAAUUUCCAUCACGUUGGUAUUGAUUAUUCUACUGUGAGAAAGUGCGUUAGUACGUAAGAGACGAGACGGCACCGGUUUCUCGUUGCCACGGAAUUUCCUAGCAAGAGUAUAGGAAUCGCGCAGCGAAUCAGAUUACGAAUAUAUCGGUUGUUUGUAUAAAUUUUACUUUAUGUAAGUUUCGAUUCUUGACAGUCGGAGGAGAGGUGCAGUGUGAGGAUUUUUUAUAUCGUAGCUACAGCUUUUGAAUCUUCAUUUGCCUAUUUAUACGCUAGCCGCGUAUAUUUGUGUCGUUUGUGUAAAUUAUAGGAUUUAUAUGCGAUGUUUGCCAAGUCUCUGAUCGUGUAUACAUAUCGUCGAAGUUCAGUUUGUGCAUUUUUUCGAACUACCCUUACGAGAAUUUUUAGAUGCCAUUGCGAUUUUAAUCUUAGAAUUUGGUUAGAGAGAUAAUUGCUUGAAAUAAUAUUUAAAGAAAUUGUACGAAGAAGAAUCGGCGAGUCUCUAACAAAGUACUGCGUUAAACUUCCAAAAAAGAGAGAAAGAGCAAUAAGGAUAUGGCAAAGUUCGUUAAAAAAAUUCUGAAUAAAAUUACAGGUGUGUAACGAAACCGAAUUUCUCGAGACGUUUAUUAAUAACGAUCUGUCAAAGCGAGUAUUAACCGCGCUGAUAGAUGCGUACAAGAAACAUUCUUAAAGUAUUUGAUUAAAAAUAAUCGCUGUAAUUAAGGAAGUUUUAAGAACACGGUGCGCUGACGAGUUAAAGAUCAGAUUUUGAUUAGAUACAUAAGUGGUAGGUAUUAUCGAUGGUAAUGAUAAAAGCUAUUUACAAGACAAGAUUCGUCAGACGAGAAAGUCGGUUUUGUCGAUCGAUCUCUAAAACACCGGGUGAAAAUAACUUUCACACCUGCCGGCGACAGUGUCCACGAUUACGUGGCACGAUCGAGAUCGAGCGCAACCGUGGAUCAUCCUUUCCUCUAUACAUUCUCGUUCGCAUAUUCAGUCGAAAUCAGAAAUCUCGUACGAUCUUCCAAAAAUCUACGAAGCCAUAAAAAAAUGUCGAAACUUCAAAAAUUUCUUUCAGAUGAAUAUGAAAUAUUUAUAACGCUUGUAACUCUACUUCGAUUUUGCGAUUCAUCGAAGUAUCUGAUUCGCGGAAGCGAUCUCCCACGGAUUUCCUCAUAGCGUUGGCAGCGGAUUCAUCUAAACUUGGAGGAUGAAAUUCGAGCUCGGUAUCCGGUGUCAUUUUGUGAAUCGAUUUCUCGGCCGCUUUCCCGAGAAAAUAAUUAUAAAUUGUGCGCUUUAAGGAUGCUUAAUGCACCGUUAAACGAGUUAAGUAACGGGACCAGUCGAGCGAUUUUAAUGACGACGCGUACACCGCGCUCCUCAUCGUCGUUCCGGCAGCCUUGAUCGGCUUAAUGCCGCGACGACCACGCGAAUUCUGCUCGAGCAGAACGACACGCCUUCGUUCCACGCUUUACAUAGUUGGCUGGAUUAUGUGGGAAAAAGGAAACGCCGAACAAAGUGUGAAAUAUGCAAAUCUGCCUAGAUCUAAUCUCGGGGAGAUAAUUGAAGCUUUCGGAAGCCAAACUGAUUAAUUCCACUUUUUGCCAGUUUCUCAAUUUCGUUACUCACGCACACGAUUAAUAUUCUAGUACUAAGGAAUAAAUUAAGAUGGUUAUAUAAAUUCGUUUGGGAAAUUGUAAAGAGCAAAUCUUACGGCAAUAUUUCAAGAAUAAUAUUUGUAACGCUUCAUCAGGUUUCUCUGAUUUUUUUAAGAAUUAAUUCUUUGUCUGUUUGGUUCGUAAUUAAAAUUACACGUAAGUGAGGAAUUAUAUUUACUUCGACUUCUCCGAUAGUUUUAGUAUCAGGGAUAAUCGAAGGGGGAAAAAAGAAAAAGAAAAGGGAGAAAGAAAAAUAGAGAGAAAAAGAAACUUACACGUUUUUUUGUACAAAAAUCGAAAUACCAAGGUACAUCCUUAAUAAAAAUAAUCAUUCUUCGUAAUUUUGUAGAAAAAGUAGAAAAUUGUACCGUAAUAUUCUUCCUCUCCCCUGAAAAUUUCAUAUAAACCCACACUUCCUCGUGGAAAAAAGAAAAUGGGCAAAGCACGAUAACUAUUCAUGCAAAAUUCCAAAGCAAUCGAACUGCAUACGUGGGUUAAAUCACCUCUUCCUCUUGUAGUGAAAAAUGCCAAGCACCAGGUCGCAAAGGAGCAGCAUGACGAGCCUCUGAAAUCCAACUUCGACUCUCUGUAGUAGGAAACACGCCGACUCAUCAACGCGAGAAAAUUUAGACUCUUUCCGCCUGGGAACGCGCGACUCCAUGAAAGAAGCGAGUCGAAAGCAACACGAUGCGAUGGACGAGGAUGUUCGAGGCGAUCGAGGAACGACACGCGACUCGACAAUGCGCCGAGGAGUACAGUGCACUCGGCCACUCGUCUGCUAACAUUAGACAAAAAUAGAAGUGGACGAUAAUUUGCAAAUCGGGAGAAGGGACGAGGAGACGAGCUCUGGAACUGGGCCAAAAGAGUGGUUGCAGGGAUGUACACGAGGCGUGCCAUUUUGGAGAACCAAGGGGUUUGUCGUUUUAGCGGCGAGAAGAAGAUGACGGUAAUAAAAUUUGAGAAUUUCUGAAUGUUUUUUUUUUUCUUUUGCACGUAGAAAUAAUGGAUCUAUAAAUGUUCUUCUACGAAUAUUUUGGAGAUAAUUUAUAAGUAUAUAGCAGAAUAUAAUUUAUCCAUUAAUCGGAAUUAAUGUAUGAAAUGCAUAGUAUGACAAAACGGAAAUUUGAGAAUUUUCGUAGUAAUUUUUCGAAGGUAUUUCAUGGACGAAUGGAUCUAAAAUCCUGUUAUAAAUUUUAUGGAAGUGAAUUAUUAGUACAGAUGGCACGUAAUGCUUGUACAAAGCUUCGAGUCACUCUCGGCCGAACCCCAGCAAUAAAAUUAAGGAGAUAAUUGAUCGUUAAACAGAGACUGCCCCUAUGGUAAAAUAAUUAUCGCAAUUAUUUACUUCAAAGUGGAUUGAUUGUGCGAAUGUAUCGAUUCGUGGCGAAUCACGAGAAAAAAUUCUCAGCACUUUACGGUUCAUAAAACGCGAAUAAUUCAAAAUAAUAUCAAACGUACCGGAAGAACGCUUAUCGUUUAUUGAAUCCAAUUAAUCGAAUUACAAAGCUUUCUCUGUACGAUAAGGACGCGCUUGACAGCCGAUAUUUUAACCAUAAAUCAUCGCCAGCUAGUGAUUCAUUGGUCAUAAAUUAGCCCUCCCUAUUAUUCGACGAAUUAUUAUUCGCGGAAUCCAUUGCUCUCCUCCUUAGCGAUUUCCCGAAAAAUUUCAAGACAAAGAAGUUAUCCUUGCUAUGAUUUGUUCAAACAAUUUACGUAGUUAACUUUGGUUAAACAACUCUUUCGUGGCCUUAAAAUAAAAGGUAUAAACGCAACAUUAUUGACAAAUGUACAUAAGAUAAGCCUCGUCACAGGAGUACUAAAAAUUCCAAGGUUGAAGAAGUUAUAUCUCUAGCGUCAUUCGUUUAUUCGAGUCAUCAGAAAGUUUCACUUGAAGAGUUUCGUCUUAUUUCGACUUUUCUUGGUCUGUGUUAAGGACCAAGCAACGAAACGAUCGAAACAAAAAUGAAAAUAUUUAAAAUUAGAAACCCAUUGGAGACGUAAAUUUUGAUUGAAAAAGGGUUAUAAAUUAAUGAAAUAAAUAAUUCAUAUCAAUUUGUAUCGGGGGAUGGUUUCUAAAAUUUAUUUCGCGUAAAACAAGAUAUCCAUCCAUAAGAGAUCCGUCGUAUCGUAAAUUUCCACUAAAAAAAAAAAAAAAAAUAAAAAUAAAAAUAAAAAAAAUAAAAAUAAAAAAGAAAGUGAGUCGUAAUACGAUUUAUGGUUCACGAGCCCUCGAUUAUUCAACACGGGGUGAAUCGCGACACGCUUAUUAACCUUUCCAAGACCCGAGAAGGCAAUGAUAGAAUCUUUGGUUGGGAAAUUGAAAGAGAUGAAAAAGCAGGAAACGAGAACAAGCUGAUUGUUAAUUCGUUCGAGUUUCUGCGAAAUUCAAGGGGAAACCAGAUUGACGAAAUGACCUACGAACGUUAUAAUGGAGCCGUAACAAACCUGCUAUGAGUAAAUAUUAACAUCUUCGUAAAUAUUAGCUCUUAAUAUUGUAUUUAGCGAUUGAGAAUAGUCGAAAAUUGAUCGAUAAUAAUUUGAGAAUUGCUAGAAAUAACCAAAUGUCAAUUGACAGUUGACUGUGAAUUAUGGAGAACGAACUUACAGUUGUCUGACGAUUCAUUACCAUAAAUUAAUUAGCAUAACAAAAUUUAAAUUCCAAACAAAUGAAAACGAGAGAUAGUUAAUUUCAGGGACUGAGAACUACCAUACGAUUAUACUGCAAAUUUUCACUUCUAAAAUUUCUAUCAUUUGUUGUUUCGACACUUCGAUUAUGAAACUUCUAUCAGUAACAGAAACAAAUUCAUACGAAUCAAAAGUUGCCUAAUACACAAAUUUCUACCAAGUUUCUCGCUCUACGGUUCGAUAUUCCAGGGAAAUUAAUAGUCGUAGGGCUUCUGGUGAACAUGGUGAAGUCGGAGAAGAAGACGAAGGGAUCCUUUAAAUGCGCGAGACGAUGCGGAAUGACUGUAACGCGGUCUCGCAGACCACCGACUUUCCCAUUUAACUUAAUAUUCCAUUCGGAUACUCGGUUCAAGUUUCUUAUCCGAGACGUUCCCUUUUUCUUACCUCUCGCCGUUCAUUGUUCCAAGCCAACAGGAGAUUCUCCGGAAAGUUUGUUUAAUCCGGCGACGACUCCAAACAAUUUGUCUAAUCUCGUAUUAGUCGACGGCCCCUUGGCUCUUUUCAACGGGGAAAAUCAAUCAACGGUUACGCUUUCGUGAAACUAUCGUAACUACCGUAGUCAAAAUUUCGUUGAGCUUUCGCAUUAAAAAAACUGUUCGUUUCUUUACGAUCAGACAAUUUUAUCGAUUUUCGGUGACAGUGGAAUUAGAAUUUCUAAGUGUGGAAACUUCGUAUAAAAAUUGGAAGAUUAAACCGUAUUACUCUCUCUCCUUUUUACGAAGUCAUUCUUCAAGGGGAUAAUAAAUUCUGAAGCUAUUCAUACUGAGCGCUUCAAAAACGUUAAAGAAAUUCUCCCACUAGAAAUGCAGUAUAUGCGUUCAAUGCACAUUGAAAAAUCGAUCGGUAAUAAAUAUAUAUUCCCUGUCACAAUUAACGUCAAGUCUAUCGCUGACGCGGUACGAACAGCGAAACAAACGUUAAAAUCUUCUUCUCUGAUUAAUUAUUCCCUGCACCAAACCAUCUCCUCGUCGACCACGUCUUCGACUUCCAAACACAGACAGCGGCAUCUAAAAGCGAAUGUAAAAAUAAACUGGACGAAACAUUUGGCGAUAGGACCCGUCGGACACGUUCCUGGCUCCCGUUAUCCGGCAUUCGCGAAUUAGUAUUCGUUUGCAUACUGCGUCGCGUGAACGCAUCAACGGUCGCGAUCAUGCGCCAACGAGCCAGGACUGGCGAUCACGUCUCGAACGAAUGGUCGUCGAGUUUCCCUCGGAAACGCUCGAAAAGGCCCCCUUUCUCGGCGUAGCGAACCCAAAAGUUGGCACAAUAGCCGCGAACAAUACGAAAGCAGCCCUCGUCCAAGCCGCUUUUUCGAACUUCUCUUCAUCGCCGAGAACGAAAAUCGCGUGUCCCUGCGUUUACAGCGUUUCUCCAGUGAAAUCUCGCGGGGAGAUGCCCACUUCUGCAAGCAAUCGACGCGAGUGCGUGUUAAACGAGUCGCUAAUUGGCCGGAACGAUCCGCGAUAAUUAGCCCCGAGUUGAAUGAGUCGAUAAAUGGUCGAAGAAGAGGAGGAGGCUUUGUCUUCGAUGGAAGGAGAAUCGUGGCCGAGUUUCGAGAGAUCCAGUCGAGUUUUCGAGUGCAAUUGCGCGAGUAAUUCCGCUGCGGAGUGAGAUUUCCAGUUGCUCGAAGAGAUAGAGAUUACUGGAAAUUCGACUUCUAUUAUGUUAGGUUCACGGCCGAACGAAUGAAAAGGUGUUACCAACUAUGCAAUAGUUCGGUAGAGGCGUCUUUUAUUCUCUAGCGGAUCAUAGACUUUCGUCUCGUACGAGGCGAGAGCUUUAACUGUGUGUCGCCUCCGCAGUUCGUACGCUCUAAGUUCAAGGAUAAUUUCUCUUCCAAUCUGAUUAGCUGAUUUCUACGCUGGCUUAGACGAUUAGAUAUCUAUUUGUUACUUUUGUCGUGGUCUUUGUCGUAGAUCGGGGUGCGACUCAGAGGUGGAUGCUGUUCGUGUACAAUUGGUGACGCAGCGGGGCUUCUUCCGGGCCCGAGCCACUUGACGUGGUCUGUCUCUGCUCACCAGACCUUCGACAAGUGGGUCCUUUGGAAACUCGGAAUUUAUGACUGCCGCUAACGCUAUUGAACGCUGAUAAUAAAACUCGAAUGAAAAGAUUCAUACGUAGACGCGAAACUAAUUGAAGCAGCGGAUAGAAGACAGCUUCUUCAAAAAUAGCUUCGCUGGCCCGUGUGUCAUAAAUCGUACCCACACAUGCAAGACAAAAGGCUUUUACUUAUGUUUGCUCUCGGCUGCUACACAGCGUACAAAAUCUGAAUUUUAAGAAUUCGUGGACGUUAAAAAAUCACCGAUAGAAAAUGUUUCAAUGGAUAAUUAAAAUACCAUUGGUACGAUAUUAAAUUAAUAUUAACCUUUUAUUAAUUCAAUUAAUUGACUAUUCGUCGAUAAACUAAUACGAUUAACCAGAAGAACCGGUCUAACAGAACUACACAUUAAAAUUCUGGUCGAAAAUUUUCA